rnacentral:rRNA from 1 species
CUACGGGAGGCAGCAGUGGGGAAUCUUGCACAAUGGGGGAAACCCUGAUGCAGCGACGCCGCGUGAGCGAUGAAGCCCUUCGGGGUGUAAAGCUCUUUCGGCAGGGACGAAACAUGACGGUACCUGCAGAAGCAGCUGCGGCUAACUACGUGCCAGCAGCCGCGGUAAUACGUAGGCAGCGAGCGUUGUUCGGAGUUACUGGGCGUAAAGGGUGCGUAGGCGGUCCCCUAAGUUUGGUGUGAAAUCUCCCGGCUUAACUGGGAGGGUGCGCCGGAUACUGAGGGACUAGAGUGCGGGAGAGGAAAGUGGAAUUCCUGGUGUAGCGGUGAAAUGCGUAGAUAUCAGGAGGAACACCGGUGGUGUAAACGGCUUUCUGGACCGUAACUGACGCUGAGGCACGAAAGCGUGGGGAGCAAACAGGAUUAGAUACCCCUGUAGUCCA